rnacentral:rRNA from 1 species
AGUAUUUUGACUAUACAAAGGUAUUGUAAUAAGAUUUUAAUUGAAUGCUAAAAGAAUGGAAGUUUAGAAAAAGUCUUUUUAAAAAAUAAAAAUUAAAAUUUUUUUAAUUUGUGCAGAAACAAUUAUUUAUAUUAAAGACAAGAAGACCCUAAGAAUUUUCUGGUUCAAUAAUUUAUAUAUUUAAUUUAUUAAACCUUGGUUGGGGCGAUCAAAAAAUAUUAAUAACUUUUUUUCAUUAAAAUGAUCUAUUAUUAAUAAAUUAAUGAAUUAAAUACUCUAGGGAUAACAGCGUAAUAAUUUUUGAUAGAUCUUAUAGACAAAAUAGUUUGCGACCUCGAUGUUGGAUUAGGAUUCUUUUUUGGUGAAGAAACCAAAAAAAGAAGUUUGUUCAACUUUUAAACUCCU